GCUGUUAAGGGUUCGUAGUUGAAUACGGAGUUCUUGGGAGUUCUAGCGGAUUCGUCCGCUUUUCGUCCCUCUCUGUCAUAGAUGGGACCGGAGCCGUGCGGAUUGUCGCCUUAACUGAUGGCUGAUGCUGUUAGGCGAAGAGUCUAACAUUACGCACGCGUCGCGUGCUUGGCCGCCCUCGUUAUCACUGUGAAGAAAACAGCGUGUUCAAGGCAGCCGCUUGCGGCCGGAUGACAAGCAUGGAAUGACAAAGUAUCGACCAGAGGGUCAAUCUUUUGUCGGUUUUUACGACCUAUUUGGAAAUUUGUGGGUGAAGCAUUCCUUCUCCGUUCGCGGAGUUGGAACUUCAUCGAACCGGGAUUAAUGGGGGUUGUCGGGGGAAAACGUAUCUGAGCGUGAGAGGUGAAAUUCUUGACCGCUCGGGGACGAACUUAUGCGAAGGCAUUUUCCAAGUAUACCUUCAUCAAUCAAGACUAAAGUGUGGAGAUCGAAGAUGAUUAGAGACCAUUGUAGUCC
rnacentral:rRNA from 1 species